GGGUGAUGAAAUAGUGAGAUGUGAUUAUUGUACUUGCCUUUGAGUCAUGGUAUUGAAAUUAAGACUUGAAAACUUCAAAAGCACCUAUAAGUAGAAGAACAGUUAUUGCAUUAACACAAUAGGAAAUCAUUCUGAUGUUUGCUUCUCUUUUAAACAAUGUUGGUACUAUGUUGGUAAUGGUUGGUACUACAUUGGUAUUGACAUUCACAACUCCCUGUUUCUAUUGCAGAACUCAAUACAGGACUCUAUACAUGUAACUACAAACUGCUUGUCAUCAGCACUGAGUGAUUUCCACAGUCUUCAUGUCCUCCAUUUUGGCUCUGUACAUUGUCCAUGUGUCCCGGUGCCGUGCCGUUAGUGGACCCCUGCCCCAGGGGCGGGAAACUGACAUUACGCUCCAGUUCUGGGUUCAGACAGAGGAAAGUCUGGUUCUUAUCUUUAUUAUUGCUGUUGUUACUAGUAGUGGUGGUGACUACCGACUCGCUAAAGAUAGUGUCUGAGAAGACAGAGUCUAGGUUGAACGGGGUGCCACCGAAGAGGGAUUCCUGGCAGGUGGAUUUUGGCCGAUCGGUGGCUACCUCUGGGUCUCCUGGGGUUUGCUUGGUGGUGGUGGUUGAUUUUCAGUGUCUGGUUCUUCCAGAUUGUUCUGCUUGUUCUGCUGGCUCAUUGCGGUGAUCUCCUUUGAGACAUGACUGAGUCAUGGUAUUGAAAUUGAAACCUGAAAUGUUGUGCUGGCUACAUCAUGUAGAUGCUCUGUUACAUCAUCAGCAGUGAGUGGACAACUCAGGAAAAACGACUGGCUCCACUCUGCAGCCUCUGGGAUGUUCAUAUAUAUCACAGUACAAUGUUACCUGAACAAAUACUCUACUACACAUGUGUGUGGAGCCUCAGUCAUAUACCAUUGAAUUGGCAGAAAGUAUUGAGCCUUCGUCAAAAAUACUAGUAUUUUCUGAUUGUUCUUGGUGAAUGUCAGUUUUGUUUGAUAAGUAACAGACAAUAGGACUCAAGCGUAUAUCAAAUUGUCCUUCUGUUUGUCUAACCAACAUAUAAUGCCGAAAGCCAGAGCCGUGUAUUGUAAUAGAAGACUGCCUGUACAUUUCUUUAAAUUCUCUAUUCGUAGCAUCCUUUUCUGAGAGCUCUAUUUCACUCAAUAGUCGAAUAUGGUGAUUUAAAAAAAAAAGUUUUCUGAAUGCUUUGUACACAUGUGCAAGUGUGUGUACAAGGCACUGAACUGGAGAGAUAGGGCAGAAUGACUAUAGGCGCGGGUACGCCUACACUGCCCAGGUGAGGAAAAGUGCAGGGCUGAGGACACUCAUUUCUGUGACAGUGCGCACGUCCCGCGCUUUUACGCACGGUCUCUUUGCAGUAAUGCAUAAACGUUGUUAUGGUGUUAUGACACUAGCUUACUCUAUAUUUUAUAAUCAAUUAAACAUAAGAAAUUAAACUGGUUUACAUUUUGUUGAUGGCUAUAGCUUGUGGUAAAGCGAAUUAGAAUUCCAUUCUGAUUCGAAACAAUGUGCAAUGACGUGUUCCAUCUCUAUGCGACCGAGAGGGUCACAAUGCCGACGCUUCACAUGGAACUUCAGAACCCAAGAGAUAUGUCCAGAACUCUCAAUAAAUCGUCAGUUCUUGAUCGACAAACAACGAGAGAGACAGCAUUAUUAUGGCAAGCUUUUCAUUCAUCUUCCCUGAAGACAGACGUUGUUCCAUUAAGGAGAACGAAGUCAAUUCAGGGUGGAUGUCAACGGUGACCCAACUCAACGCCCUUGGUGGUCCAGAGUCAGAGAGUCAGAACAUUGUUCAGAGCUUUGCAGAGGUACUUGGUGACAAGUACCACUACGUGAAUGCCAUCGACAGCUCUCUACUCUGGACUGUUGGGUACACCCCCUACAUUCCCCCAGCUCUGAAAGGAAGAAGCUUCCCUUCUGUCGAGAGCUUCUUCCUGGAUGAGUGGGAGCCACUGACACUCCUGCAGACUCCUCAGGUUCUGUCCACCAGUGUUUCCAUCGAGGAAGACAACCUGAUCCAGUCUGCUGCAGGCCUAGUGUCUCAGGUUCUGUCCACCAGUGUUGCCAUCGUGGAGAAUGAACUGAUCCAGUCUGCUGCAGGCCUAGUGUCUCAGGUUCUGUCCACCAGUGUUUCCAUCGUGGAGAAUGACCUGAUCCAGUCUGCUGCAGGCCUAGUGUCUCAGGUUCUGUCCACCAGUGUUUCCAUCGUGGAGAAUGACCUGAUCCAGUCUGCUGCAGGCCUAGUGUCUCAGGUUCUGUCCACCAGUGUUACCAUCGUGGAGAAUGACCUGAUCCAGUCUGCUGCAGGCCUAGAGUCUCAGGUUCUGUCCACCAGUGUUUCCAUCGUGGAGAAUGACCUGAUCCAGUCUGCUGCAGGCCUAGUGUCUCAGGUUCUGUCCACCAUUGUUUCCACCGAGGAAGACAACCUGAUCCAGUCUGCUGCAGGCCUAGUGUCUCAGGUUCUGUCCACCAGUGUUACCAUUGUGGAGAAUGACCUGAUCCAGUCUGCUGCAGGCCUAGUGUCUCAGGUUCUGUCCACCAGUGUUACCAUCGUGGAGAAUGACCUGAUCCAGUCUGCUGCAGGCCUAGAGUCUCAGGUUCUGUCCACCAGUGUUUCCAUCGUGGAGAAUGACCUGAUCCAGUCUGCUGCAGGCCUAGUGUCUCAGGUUCUGUCCAGCAGUGACGCUAGAGUGAAGGAUCGUGAUGAUUCCACACUGAGAGACUCCAACCAACCUGAGGUCCAUGUGGCUGAUGUCUCAACCAAGAGAAGUAGACUAGUCAUCACUAUUUCUAUGUUUUCAACCGAGAGUGGCAAUGCUUCGGUCCAUGAAGUUGAUGCUAUUGCUACCAGCCUGGAGCACUCUUCUGAGAAAAUGUCGACCUCUACCGCUGAUGGCCACAUUGUUUCAUCCACUGCUGUAGCCAAUCAGAAGAAAACAAGGGGUGGAUUCCUCUCAUCUCUACGGAGACUGUUCACAAGAAAGAACAGGAUGCCUGCUAAAGUGGCUUCCAAGAAGGAGCACGUUCACUUGGUUGACCGCCUCAAUGCUGAAGUCACCCACUGAGGACACUCACUCACUGCUGAAGGCAUCCAGAAUGAUGCUUCUGUUUCUCCUCAACGCCACCUACACCCCUGCCCCUCUCCCCCACACCAAACCCUACCAGGGUUGAGGUGAAUUCCAGAUCAAUUCAGUCAAUUCAGCAAGUCAACUGAAAUUCCAAUUCCAAUUGUUUCUCAUAGGAGGCAAUGAGGUAAAUUUGAAUUGCUAUUGGAAUUUCAGUUUACUUACUGAAUUGACUGAAUUGAAAAUGAAUUGACCCCAACCCUGAUCCCCAAGCCCCCACCCCAUCCAUUUCUAUCUUCAGUAAAUUUUGUAGAAUUUUAUUUGAAGUUGUUUUGGAUCUUCAUUAAAACCACAAUACAUCUCUAAUGAGGGUCAGUCAUGUUACACAUCUAGAUUUAUCAUCAAAUAUUGUAGAAUUCAACAACAAAUGCAGUGGUUUAGCAGUUCAACUUCAGUACUUGUCAAUGAGUCACUGCACUGUGACCUUCAGAAACAUGUAACAUUGUGGAGAAACUGAAAAUUUUGCUGACAUUCGGUUACAAUGUAACUACACUGAACAAAAAUAUUAGCGCAACAUGUAAAGUGUUGGUCCCAUGUUUCAUGAGCUGAAAUAAAAUCCUAGAAGUGUUCCAUAUGUACAAAAAGGUUAUUUCUCUCAAAUGUUGUGUUUACAUCCCUGUUAGUGAGCAUUUCUCCUUUGCCAAGAUAAUCCAUCCACCUGCCAGGUGUGGCAUAUCAAGAAGCCAAUUAAACUGCAUGAUCAUUACACAGGUGCAUCUUGUAUUGGGGAAAAGAAGAGGCCACUUUAAAAUGAGCAGUUUUGUCACACAACACAAUGCCACAGAUGUCGGAAGUUUUGAGGGAGCGUGCAAUUGGCAUGCUGACUGCGGAAAUGUUCACCAGAGCCGUUGCUAGAGAAGUCAAUGUUCAUUUCUUUACCAUAAACUGUUUCCAAUGUGGUUUUAGCAAAUUUCGCAGACCACACCAGGGGCUGAGGAGUAUUUCUGUCUGUAAUAAAGCCCAUUUGUAGGGAAAAACUCAUUCUGAUUGGCUGGGCCUAGCUCCCCAGUGGGUGGGUCUGGCUGCCAGGUGGGUGGGCCUAUGCCAUCCAAGGCCCUCCCAUGGCAGCACCCCUGCCCAGGACCUAAUGAAUUUAUUUCAAUUGUUUUAUUUCCUUCUGUGAACUGCACCUCAGUAAAAUCUUUCAAAUUGUU
ensembl:lncRNA